UGGGGAAUAUUGCACAAUGGAGGGAACUCUGAUGCAGCGACGCCGCGUGAGUGAUGAAGGAAUUCGUUUCGUAAAACUCUGUUCUAUGGGAAGAAAAGGACUGUACCAUAGGAAAAAGCUCCGGCUAAAUACGUGCCAGCAGCCGCGGUAAUACGUAUGGAGCGAGCGUUGUCCGGAAUUAUUGGGCGUAAAGGGUGCGCAGGCGGCUUUACAAGUUGGAUGUGAAAUAUUGUGGCUCAACCACAAACGUGCAUCCAAAACUGCAAAGCUUGAGUUAAGGAGAGGUAAGUGGAAAUCCUGGUGUAGCGGUGGAAUGCGUAGAUAUCAGGAGAAAUACCGGUGGCGAAGGCGACUUACUGGACUUAAACUGACGCUCAGGCACGAAAGCGUGGGGAGCAAACAGG
rnacentral:rRNA from 1 species